rnacentral:tRNA from 1 species
GAGGGUAUAGCUCAGUGGUAGAGUGCAUGCUUAGCAUGCACGAGGUCCUAGGUUCAAGUCCCAGUACCUCCA